UACAGAGGGUGCGAGCGUUGUCCGGAAUCACUGGGCGUAAAGGGCGCGUAGGCGGUCUUGUAAGUCUUGUGUGAAAUCCCUCGGCUUAACUGAGGAACUGCACGAGAUACUGCGAGACUUGAGUUCGGGAGAGGAAAGCGGAAUUCCGGGUGUAGCGGUGAAAUGCGUAGAUAUCCGGAGGAACACCGGUGGCGAAGGCGGCUUUCUGGACCGACACUGACGCUGAGGCGCGAAAGCUAGGGGAGCAAACGGG
rnacentral:rRNA from 1 species